GCGCCCGUAGCUCAGCUGGAUAGAGCAUCGGCCUUCUAAGCCGGUGGUCGGGGGUUCGAGUCCCUCCGGGCGCGCCA
rnacentral:tRNA from 2 species